CGGGCGGCUGCCGGUCCCCACGGCCGCGCCCACGAGGUCCGCUCUGCUCCCGUGCGUGAUUCCCACGACAGGCCCCGUGAAGCUCCUCUCGCCUCGCCUAACUAGACCUGGCCUGGCAGGCGCUCCGUUUCUCGCCAUCAGGACCCCUGCCGGAGCCGGCGCCCCACUCCGGUGGCUUCUCACUGCGCGGUGUCCCGCCUGCCAGAGUUUUUGUCAGUUACGUGCUGGUGUGUGUAGAACGUAUAUAAGCACAUACAGUAAACCCUUGGGUCGCGAGGCACUUGUUCGGCACCUGUGUCCGCAAGACGAGCAGACGUUUCGAAUCGAUUUUACCUUGAUGAACGAGCGAGGUCUUGCAGUAGGAGCCCCAUGAUCGCAACUGAGCCAGUGGUGGUUCUCUCUCUCUUGCUCGCUCGCUGUGGGAUUAUGGGUGAUCAUCUCCCACGCUCAGAUGCUCGGCCUCAGGCUACAGCUUUUGUCAGAAAUCGGUGAUUUUUCGGAUCGUUGGAAGGUGCCCACAGCUGGCGUUAGUGUAUCUUUUUGUCACUUCAAAGCUCCUCUGGACGGUCCUUUGCUUUUCCAGACAAGAGUGAGCUUAGGCACGCUUUGCUUCACUCUAGGUCAUUGGACAGGUUCCCUGUUAAAGUUGCACGAAAAGAAAAAGAACCCAUUGAGCCAACAGACGGCAGUGAUUCCGUUAGAGUGAAAGUCGUCCUACACAAUAACCCUCCUCUCUCUUGUCCCUCCCACACCAGCCACGAAGGUUUUCAAAGGGAAGUGCAGGUUAAUUUACUUUUUUUAUAUUUUGUGUCUUCUUUAUUAUUUUGUAUUACAGUAUCGCAGUUCUUUUUACCUGAAUAUUUUUGGGUUGUGGAACGAAUCAUCUGAGUUUCCUUUAUUUCUGCUGGGGAAAUUCGCUUUGAUGUACAAGUGCUUUGGAUUAUAAGCAGGUUUCCGGAACAAACGAGGCUCGCAAAUCAAGGUUUCGCUGCGUGUAACUGUGACACGUCAAUCACGUGUCCAUUUACACGUGUCCCUCAUAUUUAUCAAAAUAGUUCACGUGUCUGUAUAUGGUGGACGGUGAACACACAUCUGAAUAAAUGGCUACACAGUGUUGCCCGUGUGGCCAAAACCAAGUGUAAGGGCACUGUUCACCUUCCCACGUGAUUGUGGUUCUUUUCUGUUUUUUUUUUUUUUUUAAAUUGAAAUCGCAAAUUGUGUUUUCAUUAGAAGAUCAAUCCUAAAUGUUUUCUCUUGGGGAAACAAAAACCUGCGAAGGCACAAGAUUUAGAGCAAAAUGUUUCUAAAUGUUACGCGUUUCCCGGGAGGCUGACAUUCUGAACAUGGAACAGAAUGGAGAACUCUGGAUGAGUGAGUGCGGGUGUCCCGAGAGCUGAUGUCACACAGCCUGGGUUCUGCGGGGUCAGAGAGACCCAUCAGUGACUGUUCACCCAGCAAGCUCCGGCCGGAGACGGGGCAUCGGAAUGUCAGGUCUUAAAACGUGCACGACAGCUGUCCGUGAAGAUGACAGUGGGAUCGUUAGGGCUUUCUGACGCAAGGGUCUUGUUCCGGGACAUUGUUCUUUUCUGCUGUGGUGUGCGGUUGGCCUCGUGCAGCUCAGGGCCCCGGGACUCAGGGGUUGUUGCUUUUUCUCUGGGAGUGUUCCUCUCCCCGAUCUUCAAAGCCUUUGAGUAGACUGACUGGCUUCGCGAGGCUCCCAGUGUUUGAUGAGCUAAAUCGCUUGCUCCAGUGUCCAGAUCGCUGGAGUGGGUGGGAGAGGCGGAAGGGCAGAGAGGGAAAUAGGACAGUGGCAUCGGCACAAAAGGCAGGUGACUUGGAGAAGGCCAUCCGGGGACUCGGCUGUCACCUGGCUCCCUACUGUCCGGCUCCCAGCAACAGAGCCUCAGAGAGCGGUCCUAUGGCAGGGGUCCGGAGAGGCGGCCUGGGCCGCGUCUCCCGG